UGGGGGGGGGGUGCUAUACAUGCAGGUCGAACGCUUUGUGGUUCAACUGAUUUGAAGAGCUUGCUCAGAUAUGACGAUGGACAUUGCAAAGAGUGGCGAACGGGUGAGUAACACGUGGGAAACCUACCUCUUAGCAGGGGAUAACAUUUGGAAACAGAUGCUAAUACCGUAUAACAAUGACAACCGCAUGGUUGUUAUUUAAAAGAUGGUUCUGCUAUCACUAAGAGAUGGUCCCGCGGUGCAUUAGCUAGUUGGUAAGGUAAUGGCUUACCAAGGCGAUGAUGCAUAGCCGAGUUGAGAGACUGAUCGGCCACAAUGGGACUGAGACACGGCCCAUACUCCUACGGGAGGCAGCAGUAGGGAAUCUUCCACAAUGGGCGAAAGCCUGAUGGAGCAACGCCGCGUGUGUGAUGAAGGGUUUCGGCUCGUAAAACACUGUUGUAAGAGAAGAAUGACAUUGAGAGUAACUGUUCAAUGUGUGACGGUAUCUUACCAGAAAGGAACGGCUAAAUACGUGCCAGCAGCCGCGGUAAUACGUAUGUUCCAAGCGUUAUCCGGAUUUAUUGGGCGUAAAGCGAGCGCAGACGGUUAUUUAAGUCUGAAGUGAAAGCCCUCAGCUCAACUGAGGAAUUGCUUUGGAAACUGGAUGACUUGAGUGCAGUAGAGGAAAGUGGAACUCCAUGUGUAGCGGUGAAAUGCGUAGAUAUAUGGAAGAACACCAGUGGCGAAGGCGGCUUUCUGGACUGUAACUGACGUUGAGGCUCGAAAGUGUGGGUAGCAAACAGGAUUAGAUACCCUGGUAGUCCACACCGUAAACGAUGAGUGCUAGGUGUUUGAGGGUUUCCGCCCUUAAGUGCCGCAGCUAACGCAUUAAGCACUCCGCCUGGGGAGUACGACCGCAAGGUUGAAACUCAAAGGAAUUGACGGGGACCCGCACAAGCGGUGGAGCAUGUGGUUUAAUUCGAAGCAACGCGAAGAACCUUACCAGGUCUUGACAUCCCUUGACAACUCCAGAGAUGGAGCGUUCCCUUCGGGGACAAGGUGACAGGUGGUGCAUGGUUGUCGUCAGCUCGUGUCGUGAGAUGUUGGGUUAAGUCCCGCAACGAGCGCAACCCUUAUUACUAGUUGCCAGCAUUCAGUUGGGCACUCUAGUGAGACUGCCGGUGACAAACCGGAGGAAGGUGGGGAUGACGUCAAAUCAUCAUGCCCCUUAUGACCUGGGCUACACACGUGCUACAAUGGCGUAUACAACGAGUUGCCAACCCGCGAGGGUGAGCUAAUCUCUUAAAGUACGUCUCAGUUCGGAUUGUAGGCUGCAACUCGCCUACAUGAAGUCGGAAUCGCUAGUAAUCGCGGAUCAGCACGCCGCGGUGAAUACGUUCCCGGGUCUUGUACACACCGCCCGUCACACCAUGAGAGUUUGUAACACCCAAAGCCGGUGGGGUAACCUUCGGGAGCCAGCCGUCUAAGGGGGGACCG
rnacentral:rRNA from 1 species